UACGGGGGGAACAAGCGUUGUUCGGAUUUACUGGGCGUAAAGGGCGCGUAGGCGGCGUGACAAGUCACUUGUGAAAUCUCCGGGCUUAACUCGGAACGGUCAAGUGAUACUGUCGUGCUAGAGUACAGAAGGGGCAACUGGAAUUCUCGGUGUAGCGGUGAAAUGCGUAGAUAUCGAGAGGAACACCUAUGGCGAAGGCAGCUCGCUGGGACGUUACUGACGCUGAGACGCGAAAGCGUGGGGAGCAAACAGG
rnacentral:rRNA from 1 species